CUACGGGGCGCAGCAGUGGGGAAUAUUGCACAAUGGGCGCAAGCCUGAUGCAGCGACGCCGCGUGGAGGAUGAAGGCUUCCGAGUUGUAAACUCCUGUUAAGUGGGAAGAAAGACUGUUGAUUAAUACUCAGCAGGGAUGACGGUACCACUAGAGAAAGCACCGGCAAACUUCGUGCCAGCAGCCGCGGUAAUACGAAGGGUGCAAGCGUUAUUCGGAGUUACUGGGCGUAAAGAGUAUGUAGGCGGUUUGUUAAGUUAGUUGUUAAAGACCACGGCUCAACUGUGGAAAGGCAGCUAAUACUGAUGAGCUAGAGCGCAGAAGAGAGGAGUGGAAUUCCCGGAGUAGCGGUAAAAUGCGUAGAUCUCGGGAGGAACACCGGUUGCGAAGGCGGCUUCUUGGUCUGUGGCUGACGCUAAAGUACGAAAGCGUGGGGAGCAAACAGGAUUAGAUACCCUUGUAGUC
rnacentral:rRNA from 1 species